rnacentral:rRNA from 1 species
GACGAACGCUGGCGGCGUGCUUAACACAUGCAAGUCGAACGGAAAGGCCCUUCGGGGUGCUCGAGUGGCGAACGGGUGAGUAACACGUGGGUGAUCUGCCCUGCACUUUGGGAUAAGCCUGGGAAACUGGGUCUAAUACCGAAUAGGACUCCGGACUGCAUGGUCUGGGGUGGAAAGCUUUUGCGGUGUGGGAUGGGCCCGGGGCCUAUCAGCUUGUUGGUGGGGUGAUGGCCUACCAAGGCGACGACGGGUAGCCGGCCUGAGAGGGCGUCAGGCACCAAGGGGACUGGGAUACGGCCCAGACUACGACGGGAGGCAGCAGUGGGGAAUAUUGCACAAUGGGCGCAAGCCUGAUGCAGCGACGCCGCGUGAGGGAUGACGGCCUUCGGGUUGUAAACCUCUUUCGGUAGGGACGAAGCGCAAGUGACGGUACCUACAGAAGAAGGACCGGCCAACUACGUGCCAGCAGCCGCAGUAA